GCUGCUUGAGGGGCCUGAUAGAAGCUGUAAACGGCAGAGGUGGCCAAACUCCCUGCCCGGUAGGAUAUUGCAUGAAUGGAGCUUGCGCCCUGCAACCAUCCCCUCUGGACCGGUGGGGGUGAUCCCGGUCCAAACCCCAUAUCUGUCAGAGUUUGGUGGCAGUGCAACAGACAUCAGUACCUCCAACAGUGUUAUACACGAAAUAGCAGAUACCACUUGUACACCCG